CUUAGAUGCCAAUAUGGAUUUGCU
rnacentral:siRNA from 1 species